rnacentral:lncRNA from 1 species
UUUUUCCAUUUCACAAUGGGCAUUUUAUUUUUACUGGCAUAGAAUAUGUGCUGUAGAAUAAAUAUGCCUUGUAGUUUUUCCAAACUGAAAUCCCUUAAAAUUGGCAUGCAGAUAAAUAACACAUGCUCAAGGUGCCCAUUAGUUAUUUCUACAAUUAGUGGAAAAAUGCCACAGCUCAUUCUAAAGAGUUAUUAGGGGCAUUUCUGUAGGAAUGCAAUCAAUUCUUUAUAUAGUUAGCCAAAGCUAUCAGGGCUGACUCAAAAUAUCCCUUUAAAGAUCCUUUGGAGAGGAGUAAAACUAGCUUUGAAAGAUUUACCACAAAAAUACUGUUGAUCCACUAAUGUGGUUGAGUUUCUGGUCUUGCUAUUUAAUUUUGUGUCUUUACAAUACAUUUAAAAAGGAUUUUGAAAAUUAUGUACAUGAGUUUCCUGUGAGUUGCUGAGGUAGCACAUGAAAAUGUUUUAUUCUCUGUGCAUCUUUCUCUGUAACGUUUGCAGUGAACACACACUUGUUUAAUACUCUUCUCUGCACCUGUUCUUACUACACAUUAUAGCAUUUCUCCCCCCCAACCAUGAUUACUUUUUGCCUUUGCUUUUACAUGCUCUUUAAUUUACAUGCUUUGUCCUAUGUYUACUUUCAUGUGUUGACUUCAUCUCAUGGAGCUACCUCUAAGCGGCUGGCCUGGCAUCUGCCAGCCCUGUAACCGUGGCAGCAUAUGUUCAAGCCCCAUCCUGUGCUAAAGCUCCCAGAGACUUCAAUAGGUGCUUCAUUUGACCCUGCUAAUGAGAUUCUGCUCUCAAUUCGGCUAGUACACAAUGGAGCAAGUGUACUUGGAGCGGUGCAAUGCUCUGCAUUUACACCACUGGAAGGGGAAGGGUCCUUGCUUUGUGCAUGUAUUACUAUUUGAAGAGAAUGACAGUCCUGUGAUUAAACAGAUGGAUAACUGAAAUAACUGCUCAGGGAAGCUCCCUCUUCCCAAACGUAAGGACUGCUUCUUUGUUUAAAUAAGACAUAUUUCACAUUUCAAUUGUAGAAAACAGGCAACUGGAAAGGGUUGUAUUUUUUUUGAAUGUUGUAUUCACAGCUGCUGGUGAGUUACAACUGUCCAUAGCCAUUGUGCAACAAUUUCUUACUUUACAGCUCUGAAUUAUGAUUUUUUGACUGUUAAUUGGAAUAUAAUUUGAAAAUAUCCAGAUAUUUUUAAUAAAAUAUUUUUGGUUAUAAAUGCUGAGGGAUAC